GAUGAAGAACGCAGCGAAAUGCGAUAACUAAUGUGAAUUGCAGAAUUCAGUGAAUCAUCGAGUCUUUGAACGCACAUUGCGCCCCCUGGUAUUCCGGGGGGCAUGCCUGUCCGAGCGUCAUUGCUGCCCUCAAGCACGGCUUGUGUGUUGGGCUCCGUCCCCCCGGGGACGGGCCCGAAAGGCAGCGGCGGCACCGAGUCCGGUCCUCGAGCGUAUGGGGCUUUGUCACCCGCUCUAGGCCCGGCCGGCGCCAGCCGACAACCCAUCAUCCUUUUCAGGUUGACCUCGGAUCAGGUAGGGAUACCCGCUGAACUUAAGCAUAUCAAUAAGCGGAGGA
rnacentral:misc_RNA from 1 species